rnacentral:rRNA from 1 species
UACGUAGGGUGCAAGCGUUGUCCGGAAUUAUUGGGCGUAAAGAGCUCGUAGGCGGCUCGUCACGUCGGCUGUGAAAACCUGGGGCUCAACCCCGGGCCUGCAGCCCGAUACGGGCGAGCUAGAAUUCGGUAGGGGAGACUGGAAUUCCUGGUGUAGCGGUGAAUGCGCAGAUAUCAGGAGGAGCACCGGUGGCGAAGGCGGGUCUCUGGGCCGAUAUUGACGCUGAGGAGCGAAGCGUGGGAGCAAACAGG